UACGGAGGGAGCUAGCGUUGUUCGGAAUUACUGGGCGUAAAGCGCGCGUAGGCGGUUUUUUAAGUCAGAGGUGAAAGCCCAGUGCUCAACACUGGAACUGCCUUUGAAACUGGAAAACUUGAAUCUUGGAGAGGUCAGUGGAAUUCCGAGUGUAGAGGUGAAAUUCGUAGAUAUUCGGAAGAACACCAGUGGCGAAGGCGACUGACUGGACAAGUAUUGACGCUGAGGUGCGAAAGCGUGGGGGAGCAAACAGG
rnacentral:rRNA from 1 species